GACGAACGCUGGCGGCGUGCUUAACACAUGCAAGUCGAACGCUGAAGCUCAGCUUUUGUUGGGUGGAUGAGUGGCGAACGGGUGAGUAACACGUGAGUAACCUGCCUCCUUCUUUGGGAUAACGCCCGGAAACGGGUGCUAAUACUGGAUAUUCACUGGUCUUCGCAUGGGGGUUGGUGGAAAGGGUUUUUCUGGUGGGGGAUGGGCUCGCGGCCUAUCAGCUUGUUGGUGGGGUGAUGGCCUACCAAGGCUUUGACGGGUAGCCGGCCUGAGAGGGUGACCGGUCACAUUGGGACUGAGAUACGGCCCAGACUCCUACGGGAGGCAGCAGUGGGGAAUAUUGCACAAUGGGAGCAAGCCUGAUGCAGCGACGCCGCGUGAGGGAUGGAGGCCUUCGGGUUGUGAACCUCUUUCGCUCAUGGUCAAGCCGCAACAAUGGUUGUGGUGAGGGUAGUGGGUAAAGAAGCGCCGGCUAACUACGUG
rnacentral:rRNA from 1 species